UGAGGAAUAUUGGUCAAUGGAGGAAACUCUGAACCAGCCAUGCCGCGUGGAGGAUGAAGGUCCUCUGGAUUGUAAACUCCUUUUAUAAAAGAAGAAACCCCAUUUUUCUAAGUGGGUUGACGGUACUUUAUGAAUAAGCACCGGCUAACUCCGUGCCAGCAGCCGCGGUAAUACGGAGGGUGCAAGCGUUAUCCGGAUUCACUGGGUUUAAAGGGAGCGUAGGUGGGUUGGUAAGUCAGUGGUGAAAUCUCCGAGCUUAACUUGGAAACUGCCAUUGAUACUAUCAAUCUUGAAUUCUGUGGAGGUAAGCGGAAUAUAUCAUGUAGCGGUGAAAUGCUUAGAUAUGAUAUAGAACACCAAUAGCGAAGGCAGCUUACUACGCAGUUAUUGACACUGAGGCUCGAAAGCGUGGGGAUCAAACAG
rnacentral:rRNA from 1 species